rnacentral:rRNA from 1 species
ACAUGCAGUCGAGCGGUAGAAAUAAUCUUGCUUCUCUUGACAGCGGCGCAGGGGUGAGUCAUGUCUGCGACUUGGCCUGCUGAUGGGGGAUAACGUUCGAGAAGCGGACGCUUAUUCCGCAUACGUCCUACUGGAGACAUUUGGUUACCUUCGGGCCUUGCGCUAUCGAAUGAGCCGAGGUCGAAUUAUCUAGUUGGUGAGGUAAUGGCUCACCAAGGCCGACGAUCCUGUAGCUGGUCUGGAGAGGAUGAUCACCCACACUGGAACUGAGACACGGUCCAGACUCCUACGGGAGGCAGCAGUGGGGAAUAUUGGACAAUGGGCGAAAGCCUGAUCCAGCCAUGCCGCGUGUGUGAAGAAGGUCUUCGGAUUGUUAAGCUCUUUGUA